UCAGCGGCGGACGGGUGAGUAAUGCUUAGGAAUCUGCCUAUUAGUGGGGGACAACGUUCCGAAAGGAGCGCUAAUACCGCAUACGUCCUACGGGAGAAAGCAGGGGACCUUCGGGCCUUGCGCUAAUAGAUGAGCCUAAGUCGGAUUAGCUAGUUGGUAGGGUAAAGGCCUACCAAGGCGACGAUCUGUAGCGGGUCUGAGAGGAUGAUCCGCCACACUGGGACUGAGACACGGCCCAGACUCCUACGGGAGGCAGCAGUGGGGAAUAUUGGACAAUGGGGGGAACCCUGAUCCAGCCAUGCCGCGUGUGUGAAGAAGGCCUUUUGGUUGUAAAGCACUUUAAGCGAGGAGGAGGCUACCUAGAUUAAUACUUUAGGAUAGUGGACGUUACUCGCAGAAUAAGCACCGGCUAACUCUGUGCCAGCAGCCGCGGUAAUACAGAGGGUGCGAGCGUUAAUCGGAUUUACUGGGCGUAAAGCGUGCGUAGGCGGCCAAUUAAGUCAAAUGUGAAAUCCCCGAGCUUAACUUGGGAAUUGCAUUCGAUACUGGUUGGCUAGAGUAUGGGAGAGGAUGGUAGAAUUCCAGGUGUAGCGGUGAAAUGCGUAGAGAUCUGGAGGAAUACCGAUGGCGAAGGCAGCCAUCUGGCCUAAUACUGACGCUGAGGUACGAAAGCAUGGGGAGCAAACAGGAUUAGAUACCCUGGUAGUCCAUGCCGUAAACGAUGUCUACUAGCCGUUGGGGCCCUUGAGG
rnacentral:rRNA from 1 species